AAAGAAAAGCUGCUGGAGUUUAACAUUAGCAAAUGUCAAGCCAUACAUUUGGGAAUGGAAAAAAACUUAAGUUGACCUCUGGACUGCUGGGAAAGGAGCUGGAGUAUUUUGAUAAUGGAGUGGAUUUAGGGAUUUGGAAAGUAUUAUCUUGAGGAUGGAGAAGACAUGAUGGCUUCACUAAAGGAAGCUAGCAGGACCCCAGGCACCAUCCAUCCUGGGAAGAAUAGGGAUCCAGAAGAUUUUUUAUUAAUAUAGAAGCCAUGUACAGUUCUGCCACCAGCAGAACCUAGCAGUGCACUCAGCGGCUGACACAGGGACCACGGACUUUUCUGGGGCAGGACACAGACCUUCCUCACAGAUGAACCUCACAGAAGAACAAACAGUGAGCAAAGAGAAGUGCAAGGCUUUUCUCAGGGCGAAGGAAGACUUACAUUUGUGGCAGUGUGAAGAAGAAAGGAUGAUGACUAGGAGAGGAAUGCAGGCAGGAGACACUUGCUGCAUAUAAACAGCAGAGA